UCCAUAGGUUAAUGAGGCGAACCGGGGGAACUGAAACAUCUAAGUACCCCGAGGAAAAGAAAUCAACCGAGAUUCCCCCAGUAGCGGCGAGCGAACGGGGAGGAGCCCAGAGCCUGAAUCAGCAUGUGUGUUAGUGGAAGCGUCUGGAAAGGCGCGCGAUACAGGGUGACAGCCCCGUACACAAAAGCGCAUGUGCUGUGAGCUCGAUGAGUAGGGCGGGACACGUGGUAUCCUGUCUGAAUAUGGGGGGACCAUCCUCCAAGGCUAAAUACUCCUGACUGACCGAUAGUGAACCAGUACCGUGAGGGAAAGGCGAAAAGAACCCCGGCGAGGGGAGUGAAAAAGAACCUGAAACCGUGUACGUACAAGCAGUGGGAGCACCCUUCGGGGUGUGACUGCGUACCUUUUGUAUAAUGGGUCAGCGACUUAUAUUCUGUAGCAAGGUUAACCGUAUAGGGGAGCCGGAGGGAAACCGAGUCUUAACCGGGCGUUAAGUUGCAGGGUAUAGACCCGAAACCCGGUGAUCUAGCCAUGGGCAGGUUGAAGGUUGGGUAACACUAACUGGAGGACCGAACCGACUAAUGUUGAAAAAUUAGCGGAUGACCUGUGGCUGGGGGUGAAAGGCCAAUCAAACCGGGAGAUAGCUGGUUCUCCCCGAAAGCUAUUUAGGUAGCGCCUCGUGAAUUCAUCUCCGGGGGUAGAGCACUGUUUCGGCUAGGGGGCCAUCCCGGCUUACCAACCCGAUGCAAACUGCGAAUACCGGAGAAUGUUAUCACGGGAGACACACGGCGGGUGCUAACGUCCGUCGUGAAGAGGGAAACAACCCAGACCGCCAGCUAAGGUCCCAAAGUCAUGGUUAAGUGGGAAACGAUGUGGGAAGGCCCAGACAGCCAGGAUGUUGGCUUAGAAGCAGCCAUCAUUUAAAGAAAGCGUAAUAGCUCACUGGUCGAGUCGGCCUGCGCGGAAGAUGUAACGGGGCUAAACCAU
rnacentral:rRNA from 1 species